CAGCAAAAUUCACUGUCUUUAAUUUCUAUUGCCACAUUUGUAGUGUCCCGAGGCAGCACAAUGGUUGCAUCUUGCUGCAAUUCUUCCUCUUGCAGAAAUCCAGCAAUCCGAUCGAGGGAUACUUUUGUCUGAGCCAUCAUUGACACCAAGUCAGGAAAAUUCCUAAGUGGUUCUUGGAGGAUCCUGAAAGUCGCCAAAGCAGAAAGAACACUUCCUGCGGUAAGCUGGCCACCCAAUAGUAUGCAAGUGCCAAAGGUAACAGCUGAAACAAAUAUUGGGG
rnacentral:misc_RNA from 1 species